rnacentral:rRNA from 1 species
AUGGCCAACAACCAGUGGAUUGUGAAUAUUGACAGCUCAAAUGGCCUCUCCCUGGAACACAUCCAACAGUUUGCUAACCUUUGGGACAAGCUAACAACGGUGGCCCUCGAUGACGACGUUGAAGACUCGAUUAUAUGGAAGUUCACCAAAGAUGGGGUAUAUUCUGCAUCCUCGGCUUACAAGGCUCAGUUUGAAGGCCUCACCGACUCGGACCUUCUCCAUUCAGUGUGGACGGUGUGGGCGCCUCCUCGAUGCAAGUUUUUUGCUUGGCUUGUUCUUCAAGAUAGAAUCUGGACUUCAGACUGCUUGAGCCGUCGUGCUUGGCCUAACUGCAGUCUAUGUCCUCUUUGCAAGCAAACCCAAGAAACCGCGGCUCAUCUGCUUUUCCAAUGUCGCUACACCAUGCGCAUUUGGAAUGACGUCCUCCCAUGGCUCGGCAUGCAUCACAACACCACGUCUACUUGGGUGACGAGGGCUUCAGUUAGAGAAUGGUGGAAUGGAAACCUUCAGCUCCGUCUUGACUCGCCCAAGGCGCUUGCCUCUCUUAUGAUGCUCAUCUCUUGGAAGUUCUGGUCGGAGCGCAAUGCUAGAGUCUUCCGCAACUCGGCGGCCCCUUUCAUGGUCAUCAUCAACAAAAUCAAGCAGGAGGUGUUACUUUGGGCUAUGGCUGGAGCGAAACAUUUGGGUGUUGUAGUGCCAUGA